GGGGGGGAGGAGGAGGGUUUAGGGUUUAGGGUGUAGGAAAGAAUGAAUCUGAUGCUGUAAGGGCAUUAUUGCCACCAUGGAACUCAUAUGUGCCCUUUGUUCAAUGCGUCCUCCGUGGGAAUAGAAACUGUCGAUGAAGUUGUUGGUUGCAGUGCAAAGAUGGAGUUUUUCUUUUGGCCACAUUUCAUAGUGGUAACUAAGGAGUAACCAGGUUCAGCCACGGCUAUGGUUCCAUCAGUGCUUAUCAAAGUGGGACAGAAAAAUCUGUAAACUUGGUCGAACGAGUCUCAAGCUCCGUGAAAAUGAUGCUACCAAGCAAAUUCCCACUAAACCUGGGACAACACAAAAAAGACAAGUCUUGAGCUCCGUGAAAAUGAUGCUACCAAGCAGAUUCCCACUACACCUGGGACAAUACAAAAAAGAAAACACUCGAACUGUACUGGAAAGCGAAAGGCAAGAACUGCUCCAAAAUCGCAAGGCAUGGCUUCUGGGACGGGAAGAGGCGAAGCGUCUGUUGGAAGUAGAACGAGAGAAGGCAGCCAAAUUAGAACAGGAAAAAGAGGGGAUAUUGGUUGACCAGUAUAUUGGAUUGAAACGGAAGAGUUACGAGCAGAAAUAGGAACCUGGGAAGCUGCUGUAGUCACAAAAUUGGAGAGUGACCCAGCCAGUAUUGGUCGGUCACGGAUGUCUGCCCCACCUGUUUCAACAAUCGGUGAAUUGGAGGUGAAGGUGAGGCAACAGCAGCACCAAUUGGGAGCAACCAGGUUGUCAGGAUUCUGCAAUUGGAGGCCCAAGUUCGUGAAUUGGGUUUAGGGUACGAUGAAGACUUAUCAGUCUAAUCGCGGAGAGAGCCGAUUGAAGUAUC
rnacentral:lncRNA from 1 species